UCAUGCCAGAGGCAGACGGGGUAGAGGACGCACUUCUGAUCGAGAUCCAUCAGCUCCUCAUCCCAUAUCUGAUGACUCCGAUCCAUGACUUGUCUUGAUCAUUUCUAGAUCCUAGGUGUUAGUGUCUUGUCCUUUCUAGGAUCUGUAUUUUGGGGCCAUGUAUUGACUUUAGCUAGUUGACUUUUAUAUUAUGAAAUAUGUAUUGAAACAAUUAUGGUUUUAAUUAUCUU
rnacentral:lncRNA from 1 species